ACCUCUAGCCAGGGACGCGCGCUCGGUCCCCCGCCGUGCGCCCCCGGUGCCGCGCCCAGGCUCCCGCCCCGGCCUCCUUACCAGCCACUUGUCUCCCAGCUGCGAACUGGAGCGGGAGGCGGCGGCCGGAGGGCCCAGGACAGCCCCGGGAGGGCGGCGAGGCGGAGCAGGAGCGCCCCGGCUCCGGCCACAUUCUCAGAGUCAGGAAAAGGGGCGAGAGGCCACAUCUCUCCCUCUCGCCAAACUGAAAACGAAACGGCGCUCCAGCAGAUUGGGUGGAAAGAGCUGUGUCUUGUUUUCUCUGUUUUUCACGCUAGAAAGGGCUUGUAAACAUUGUUUCUUUUAAAAUGACCUACCCCGGGAGGUUUGGGCACACUUCUGUCCUGGGGUCAUCGUUCCUAGGUGGCUUCGGACUUGGGACUUUGAUUUCCUGUAUCUGCACAUUGUCGUUUUAUACACAAUUGCCAAGGUGGAACUGAUUUCAGCUUUACUGAGCUUGAAGCUGCAAAGGUUCUGCCCUGACGUUUCCUGGAAUAAUGCUGAGGACUGCCUGUCGGGUAGCUGCCUUAUUCAGUUCACUUCAUCUCGGAAACACCUGACCCCUGCCUUGGAUCCAGCGGCCCUCCUGAGAGCUGAGGAAGGAGGAAAUCCUAUGUGUCUGCUCCCAGAGCUGCCACAACCCAUCUUCCCACAACUCGGAACUUGGAAAAAGGAACCCAGGACACGACUUUGCUUUUCUUUUGGACCUAGUUGGUGAUUAUACCCGGUCUCCCAUGGAGACCAUGUCUUGCAUCCUUCCUUCUGUAUGGGAUUUAGGAUAGAAAUUAAAAAGAAAACAUCUUAUUUUGAGUCUUGAUUUGGAGAAAGGUAGUAUUUAGGGAGAAGUAGGCUAUGAUACACAUAGAAAAUUUGAGGACAGUGUUACUUAACAAGGACAUUUCUGUCUCUGCAGAAGUCACAGCUUGGAGGAAACCAGUUUGCACUAUUUGAUGAGGAAUUUGGCCACCAAACCACUGAUACUUUCCCAAAGGUUUGGCAGAAAUUGUUUUUUGAGUGGCUCACCAGAGUCCCUAGAAGAAUCAGCAUGGAAUUAGAGGACAGUGGCCUACCCUAACUAAAGACAUGAGUGACGUG
rnacentral:lncRNA from 1 species